AAUAAAAUUAUUUAUGGUUUAAAAAUUUAUUAUAAAUUUAUUUUACAUAUAAAUUUUAGUGUUAAUUUUUAAUUUAUUUAAAUAAUAAUUAAUAUUUAUUUGUAGUAAUUAAAAUUAAAAAUUUAAGUAAUUAAGAUUUAGUAAUAUUUAAAUUAAUAACAAAUUUUGUGCCAGCAGUUGCGGUUAUACAAAAAUUAAAUUAAAUUUUUUUAGGAAUUGAUUAAUAAUAGAUUAUAUAAUAAAAUUAAAAUUUAAAUUAUUAAGUGAAAUUUUAAUUUAUGAAAAUUUUAUAUUGAAUUAUGAAUUAAAAAAUUUUAUUAAAAACUAGGAUUAGAUACCCUAUUAUUAAAAAUUUAAAUUAAUAAUACUAAAAUAGUAUAUAAUUAUUUAUAAAAACUUAAAUAAUUUGGCGGUAUUUUAGUUUAUUUAGAGGAAUCUGUUUAUUAAUUGAUAUUCCACGAAUAAAUUUACUUAAUUUAUUUAAUUUUGUAUAUCGUUGUUAAAAAAAUAUUUUAAAAUAAUAAUAAUAUUUUAAUUUUUAUAUUAAAAGUUAAAUCAGAUCAAGAUGCAGAUUAUAAUUAAGAAUAUAAUGGAUUACAAUAAAUUUAUUUAAUUGGAUGUUAUUUUUAAAAAUUAAUUGAAAUUGGAUUUAAAUGUAAUUUUAUUUAAUUUAUUAAAAUGAUUUUAAUUUAAAAUAUGUACAUAUUGCCCGUCGCUUUCAUUAAUAAAUUGAAAUAAGUCGUAACAAAGUAGAGGUACUGGAAAGUGUUUCUAGAAAGAGUA
rnacentral:ncRNA from 1 species